rnacentral:rRNA from 1 species
UACGUCGGGGGCAAGCGUUGUCCGGAUUUAUUGGGCGUAAAGAGCGUGUAGGCGGUUUGGUAGGUCCGCUGUGAAAACUCGAGGCUCAACCUCGAGACGCCGGUGGAAACCAUCAGACUAGAGUCCGGAAGAGGAGAGUGGAAUUCCUGGUGUAGCGGUGAAAUGCGCAGAUAUCAGGAAGAACACCCGUGGCUAAGGCGGCUCUCUAGUACGGUACUGACGCUGAGACGCGAAAGCGUGGGGAGCGAACAGG